ACUGGUUGAUUAUAUAGAGAUCGAGCAGCUCAGUUCUGGAUGCUUUGAAAACAAAACUGAGAAGAAAAAGAAAUAUCUCUGGAUUAGAAAACACUUUCAUCUUCAGGCAAGUGCACAGAUGGGUGAAAAGAGAAAGACCCUUUGGUCUGAGAAGGGGAGAAAUCAGACUGGGAGCUUGUGAAGAAACUGAAAUUGAGAACUGUGUUUUCCUUGAUCCUGUGAGCAUUUCUGGAAGAAACGUUCUAGCUAUAUGUUCCUUGGAUUCAGACACUUAUUAAAGGAUGGUGUGGAGUGGUGGAAAAUAUGAUAAUUCAAGAUGAGAAGUAAAGAAUGAUUGGGGGCAGGUGAAUCAGCAACAGCAAACUAUCAAGUUAAGAUAGCAGAGCUCAUACCUUUGAGCUGUGUGAGAAGCAGCCCACAGGAUCCUCAGCUGGGUUUCUAAGAUCACCCCUUCAAGACUGUGAGGCUCCUUCUAUGUAAGGUGGUUAUACUACUAAUAUAUGGUGCUCAAUUGUACAAGAAGGUGUCAAACUAUUUCCCAAAGAGAUAUGAAGAUAUGAGCUUUAAGAUGUGUUGUCAAGCCAAUGUGAUGGCCAAGAAGAUCCUAGACGAAAUCUUCCCAAGGUUUGGGAUGCCCAAGGCAAUCUGGUCCAAUAAUGAACCUGCCUUUGUUGCCCAGCCUUUGUUCUCUAGGUUCAAGACGCUCGAGUGGGUGAGACAGUGAGUGAGCAUGGAAGCAGCUCCAGAAGGCCUACUCAAGAGAAGGAAACCUGCAAGCCCCACAUCGCUUCCAAGUUAGAGAUUCGGUCUACAUUGGACACCACCUCACAGAAAACCUUGAGACUCGGCGGAAAGGCCCUUAUCUUGUCCUCUUGACCACCCUACUUUCUACCCCUAUGGGACCUCUCUUGAUUUUGUUUCUGCUUUUAAUUAUAGGUCCGUGUGUGUUAAAUAGACUAGUCACCUUUAUUAGAACAAGAAUUAGUACAGUACAGCUUUUAGUUUUGAGACAACAAUACCAUGCCCUAAAGGAUCAAGUGUGUCAGGG